UACGUGUGGACCAAGCGUUGUUCGGAAUUACUGGGCUUAAAGGGAGCGUAGGUGGCCCGAUAAGUCAGGGGUGAAAGCCGGCGGCCCAACCGUCGAAUUGCCUCUGAUACUGCUGGGCUCGAGUGUGCGAGGGGGAAACGGAACGUGUGGUGUAGCGGUGAAAUGCGUAGAUAUCACACGGAAGGCCGGAGCCGAAGGGGGCUUCCUGGUGCACAACUGACACUGAGGCUCGAAAGCGUGGGGAGCAAACAGG
rnacentral:misc_RNA from 1 species